rnacentral:misc_RNA from 1 species
UCCCCGUUGCCGGGGCAGUCUGACUAGAAAAAUACAACUAGCCACAAGGGUUGCGCUCGUUGAUGGACUUAACCAAACAUCUCACGACACGAGCUGAAGACGGCCAUGCAUCACCUGUCACUUGGUUCAAUAAAGCACUCUCUCCUUUCGGAGAAAUUCCAAGGAUGUCAAGCCCUGGUAAGGUUCUUCGCUUACCAUCGAAUUAAACAACACGCUCCACCGCUUGUGCGGGUCCCCGUCAAUUCCUUUAUGUUUUAGUCUUGCGACCGUACUCCACAGGCGGGGUGCUUAACGCGUUAGCUUCGCUACAGAAGGGGUCGAUACCUCCUACAGCUAGCACCCAUCGUUUACGGCGUGGACUAC